GUUGACUGAGUCGGGAUGAACCUGCCCUCCACGUCAAGGGUAUCGCAGGAUGUUAUAGUUACUGCGCGGCAUAGAAAAGCAACGACCAGUGAGGAAAUCAUUUGACUCAUCUUCUCAAGGUCCCCGAAGUCUCCACAGGGCCUUGUCCUUGUAGCACAAGACUGCUGAUGCCACGCGGUGCACUGAGAGGCCUGCGCAUGGAUAAAUAUUUGAGUAUGUGUGAGUGGCGAAAGCGAGAUGACUCUCAGCCUGUCAGUUGUGUUUGGAGUCCUGGCAUCAAGCAGGGACCUGCUCAGUGACACCGGGAGCCAAGGCUCAUAGACAAUGUGAAGUGGAGGUGAGGCCCAGGCGGCAUAGCUGCGGCGUUCUGACCUGUGCCCUGACUCACACAUCAUGUAGCUCCCCGGCGCCAGAGGACCUCCUGACCGUGAUGAGUUUUGACUCCUGUCACCUUUGGGUGUCGUCAAGAUCCUAUGACAUGGACAGUAUUUUUUUCUUUCUUUCUUUUUGAGCGAGGUUGACCACCAUCCCCGCAAGUGAAGAAAGGAGAGAGGAGACUUUGCAAACAGAAUUAAAACGACUGAAAACAAAACAGAGCUUUUGCUAAACGUUUGCGCUGCUCAUGCUUCCUCUAAUGUCGUCUUCUCAGUCACUGUCAGAAAACCCUUUCAUACACCGGUACAACAAUAACUUGGAAUGGACAAAAUUUUCAUCAUUGACAUGUCAUAAAAACAGAGUGGCCAUUAUUUUCUUUUGGAA